GCAUAUGUAACAUAAAUUUUCCGUGAUGAAUACCAAGCUUUAGGAGUAUCAACAGUUAGUACAGCAUGGGGCAUAGGAUUGAUCAUUGGCCCAGCUUUGGGAGGAUUUCUUGCAUAGCCAACAGAGAAGUAUCCCAACAU